GAUGAACGCUGGCGGCGUGCCUAAUACAUGCAAGUCGAGCGAACAGACGAGGAGCUUGCUCCUCUGACGUUAGCGGCGGACGGGUGAGUAACACGUGGAUAACCUACCUAUAAGACUGGGAUAACUUCGGGAAACCGGCGCUAAUACCGGAUAAUAUAUUGCACCGCAUGGUUCAAUAGUGAAAGACGGUGUUUCUGUCAGUUAUAGAUGGUUCCGGGCCGCUUUAUCUAGUUGGUAGGGUAACGGCUUACCAAGGCUACGAUGCGUAGACGACCUGAGAGAGGGAUCGGCCACCUGGGAACGGGGACGCGCACAAGACGCCUACGAGAGGCCGCAGUAGCGAAUGUGCCGCAAUGGGGGGAAGCCUGACGGAGCAGGGCGGCGUGAGUGAUGAAGGUCCUGGGAGCGGAAAACUCGGUUAUGGGGGAAGAACAGAUGUGGAAGUAAACAUGCACGGCGUGACGGUACCGAGUCAGAAAGCAACGGCUAACUACGUG
rnacentral:rRNA from 1 species